rnacentral:lncRNA from 1 species
AUGUAUGAACAUGUAUAUAAUUAUUUUUAUAGCAAUCUUAAAUAUGUACGCAUAAAUCAUUUCGAUACCAAUGUUAAUAGAUCAGAUAUUCUUUCCACAAAAUACUUGAGAUAUUGGAAGCAAUUAAAGAUCAAUAAUUCAUACCCAGCAAAAAUGAUGGUCUCACCUAAUAUUGAGUAUUGUUUAGGGCUGCGUAUACUCAAAUUUAAAAUGAAUCAAUUCUAUAGUCGUAGACUCAACACACUUAUUUUGUAUGAGAUGAGGGAACUCCGCAGCUAG